UAAAGUUUUGAAUCACAUAUAAGCGGGGAGCCCGUCACAGUAAAACUGCACUUACAACAUGGAUUUCGAAAGUUCGCAUAUGAAUUAAUACUAUUUAACGAUGGGUACAAUAUGUACUAGGUUUAUCCUGGCACACCUAGUACAUAUUGUACCUAUGAUUCAUAUGCGAAAAUUCGAAAUUGGUGUAAGUGCAGUUUUACUGUGACGGGCUCCAAGGCUAAUAGAAUAAUUAUGAUCUAUUUAUGUAAUAUUCUUUUGUAAGAUUACAAACAUUUUUGGAAAUUUGUGGCAUAAUACAAAAAAAAAAGAAGGUCUUGCAAUUUUGUCACAGAUUGUUCCUAUUUUUGAUAUAAAUUAAUAAAAAAAAAAAUAAUAAGACUUUAAUUUGCUUUUUAAAAAAGUGAAGAAAAAAAAAUUAGUUAUUUUUUUGUUUGAUUAUACAGGGUGACAUAUGUUUGAAAUUCGAAAAAUAACUUUUAUCGAGAUAAAACUGCUUUAAGCAAAAAAUAUUGGGUGUGUAGGUGCACAUCUUUUGCAGACAUCAAAUUUAACUUAGAUUUUCUAG